rnacentral:lncRNA from 1 species
GAGUCCCGGCUGUUUUCAAACCUCUUUCAUAAGACUACAUGUAGUUUUGCUUGAGGACAAGCAAAAUGGUAAGUCUGGGGGAGUUGAUAGGCCAUGGAUUUUACCCUCUUUUUGCCAUGGUUUAUAAGUGUUUUAAUAACUAAUUACUACUAGAUAGAGUCUAUUUAGAGUAUUUACAAGUUCAUGGACGAUUUGGAGGAAAGUGGUGAUUUUGGUGUCUUUUGAUGGAGACCUUCCCACAGUUAGAUUGAGCCCAUAUCUUGAUACAAGAUAGAGCUUUGAGUUAGCUUUCCAAUGCCACCGGUUUGAGGCCAAUCAACAUAUCAUAGAAGAAAUUAUGCAUGUUUUACUGAAGAGUUGUCAGUCUGCCUCGCGAGAAGAAGCUGUCGAGGAGACUGUCGAUCAACGGUGCACCCUUGGUGUCGAUCGACGGU